rnacentral:rRNA from 1 species
CCGAAUGAGGCGUGCUAUACAUGCAGUCGAGCGGACAGAUGGGAGCUUGCUCCCUGAUGUUAGCGGCGGACGGGUGAGUAACACGUGGGUAACCUGCCUGUAAGACUGGGAUAACUCCGGGAAACCGGGGCUAAUACCGGAUGGUUGUUUGAACCGCAUGGUUCAAACAUAAAAGGGGGUUCGGCUACCCUUACAGAGGACCCCGGGCAUUAGCUAGUUGGGAGGUAAAGGCUCACCAAGGCAACGAGGGUAGCCGACCUGAGAGGUGAUCGGCCACACUGGGACUGAACACGGCCCAAACUCCUACGGGAGGCAGCAGUAGGGAUCUUCCGCAAGGACGAAAGUCUGACGGAGCAACGCCGCGUGAGUGAUGAAGGUUUUCGGAUCGUAAAGCUCUGUUGUUAGGGAAGAACAAGUACCGUUCGAAUAGGGCGGUACCUUGACGGUACCUAACCAGAAAGCCACGGCUAACUACGUGCCAGCAGCCGCGGUAAUACGUAGGUGGCAAGCGUUGUCCGGAAUUAUUGGGCGUAAAGGGCUCGCAGGCGGUUUCUUAAGUCUGAUGUGAAAGCCCCCGGCUCAACCGGGGAGGGUCAUUGGAAACUGGGGAACUUGAGUGCAGAAGAGGAGAGUGGAAUUCCACGUGUAGCGGUGAAAUGCGUAGAGAUGUGGAGGAACACCAGUGGCGAAGGCGACUCUCUGGUCUGUAACUGACGCUGAGGAGCGAAAGCGUGGGGAGCGAACAGGAUUAGAUACCCUGGUAGUCCACGCCGUAAACGAUGAGUGCUAAGUGUUAGGGGGUUUCCGCCCCUUAGUGCUGCAGCUAACGCAUUAAGCACUCCGCCUGGGGAGUACGGUCGCAAGACUGAAACUCAAAGGAAUUGACGGGGGCCCGCACAAGCGGGGGAACAUGUGGUUAAUUCCAAACAACGCAAAAAACCUUACCAGGUCUUGACAUCCUCUGACAAUCCUAGAGAUAGGACGUCCCCUUCGGGGGCAGAGUGACAGGUGGUGCAUGGUUGUCGUCAGCUCGUGUCGUGAGAUGUUGGGUUAAGUCCCGCAACGAGCGCAACCCUUGAUCUUAGUUGCCAGCAUUCAGUUGGGCACUCUAAGGUGACUGCCGGUGACAAACCGGAGGAAGGUGGGGAUGACGUCAAAUCAUCAUGCCCCUUAUGACCUGGGCUACACACGUGCUACAAUGGACAGAACAAAGGGCAGCGAAACCGCGAGGUUAAGCCAAUCCCACAAAUCUGUUCUCAGUUCGGAUCGCAGUCUGCAACUCGACUGCGUGAAGCUGGAAUCGCUAGUAAUCGCGGAUCAGCAUGCCGCGGUGAAUACGUUCCCGGGCCUUGUACACACCGCCCGUCACACCACGAGAGUUUGUAACACCCGAAGUCGGUGAGGUAACCUUUUAGGAGCCAGCCGCCGAAGGUGACAGAGG